AAAGAGGUUUUUAAACACACCCUUUCUUCCCCUUAGGGUUUUCCCUAAGUCAUCCCUUCCCUGUCAGAGCUUGCUGCACACACAGAGGCACAGCACUUGACAGGUGUUAGGAGCUACAUUAGCCACUCAGGUAAUUGUCUAACCCACUAGACUUUUUAAGUGCCUCAAGACUAGGAACCCUCCCCUUAGCCUCAAUACCUCUUCUGGGCCUGUUUUUUGACCUGAACAAAGGGGAAAAAAAAAACCCCACAGGACCCAAAAGACUGAAAUAAGUAGUCUAAGUGGAGCAGAGAGAGUAGCCACAGCUUGGGGUGACAUAACAGAGCAGUCAUGGAAGACCCAUGGUGAAGAUGUGUUCUCAUAUUCUUACCAGAAAUUGCCACAGUCAUGCAGCAUUCAGUAACCCACCACCCAAUCAGUCGGCAGCCCUCAACAUCGAGGGAAGAUCCUCCAACAGCAAAAUGAUUAUGGUUCACUGAAGGCUCAGAAGAUCAUUUGCAAUAAAGGAUCCUUUCAAAUACGGUUGCCUUCAAACUGUUUCAGAAAACUCCAUGGCAUGAUGGACUAGAUCUAUUUUGUGGAACAGCAAUUCUGAGAAUGCCAUAUCAAAGCUAGCACCGACCUCUUGGCUUCCAUGAACCCGUGUAAGUGAUGAUCUGCUCCACGAAGGCUGCCAUUGCUCCAGUUAUUGCUUUCACUUUCAUUUCUGCCUAAAUGUUCCAUUCUCCAAAUGCAAUGAAUAUUAAUUACUUUCAGGUUGCAAUCAUUUUAUCCUUUUAAACUCACAUUUCUUUCUUAAAUGCAACUGUAAACUUGUAGUUUAGAUUUUGUUUUGCUUGUUAAGUCCUUAAAGAUGAUGCUGAACAAUUAAAAUCCAAUUUAGACUGACAAAAUACUUCAAUAAUAUAAAGUGGUAUUGUUUUAUGGUCAAGUCCUGACCAUAUAGAGAAGUUGUUUCAAACAAUUUUUGCUUGGAUUCCAAGACUAUAUCUAUUUGGUAUUGAGGGAGAUUAAAUUAUCUAGAUUGUCUCCAAUAAAGAGGAUUCUCACUUUCUGAAAAUAUUAAAGCAC